UUUAAGCAUAUCACUCAGUGGAGGAACAGCAAGCAACUGCGAUUGCUUCAGUAACGGCGAGUGAACUGGCAAUACCUGGCUCAUCCCGAAGUGAAUCCCAUUGGCAACCUGCCCUCUCGGGCAAUUGCGAGCGGCUUUCGUGGAUCUCAGCAGAUGCUGUGGGCAAUGGAGCAGGCAGCAGUGCCAUCGGUGACCUCUCGCACCAGGAAAUGCCCUGGAAUGGCCUACCACAGAGGGAUACUGUCCCCCACGGAGCUGUGUGUGGUUGGUUGCUGGAGGCGUUGCUGCUUGCAUCCAGGAGUAGAGUGGCUUGGGACUGCAGUUUGAAGUGCAAGGUGUAUCCCUUGCAAGGCAGAAUACCAACAUGGGACCGAUAGAGCACAAGUAGAGCGAUUGAAGGAUGCAAAGGACUCUGCAAAGAGGGUUAAAAGUCCCUGAAGCUGCAACAGGAACAGYGGAGAGUGGUGCUGUGGCUCCGCCCAGUUGGCUGCCCCUCCGUCCCAUCAGCCCAGUUCUGGCAGUGCCCAGCCCAAAGUCCCAAUCCGCGGUCUUGGGUGGCGUUGCAACCGCUGAUGGGAUGUGGGCAGAGGAGGCCCUAACCCAAGCAACCUUGGGCCAGCCCAGUGCUGGCUACUGAGCCCUUCCCUGCAGGGAGGGACGCAAUCGUGGCAGCAUUUGGUGGCACCCUGCCUGGCAGGGCCUGAGGUGGAGAGAGAUCCCUGAGUAUCACCUGGCUUGUGCGUGACGUGACCACCCGGAGAGGGAACAGUUCAACCCUGAGCAGAACCAGGCCUGUUGUGUGUGUGGACCUGCCCCACAGGACAUCCGCGCCCUCCAUCGAGGCGAGAGUGGGCAAUGGAAGCCUUCCAUGCUGCGGCAUGGGUUGWGGCUCCAGCAGGACCCGACACACCAGGCUGGGCGAGGGGCGGGUUCCCCGCUGCCGUGGUCUGGUCUUGAAUGCCAAGCGAGUGUGACCCUGGCUGGAACCUGGGGAACCUUUCAGGUAUCCCCAGUCAUCAUUGCCCAGUGAUAAUGGCCUGGAGCCUGUGGCUUGCAUGGUGGCUGCACUGGUUUGCUGGUGGCCCUGUGCAGCCAUUGGCUCCCCAGAUGGUGCAAUGUGCAGGUUGGCAGCUUGAGCUUGGCAAUAUCAGUGCCACUCUCUGCCCGUCUUGAAACACGGACCAAGGAGUCUAUGGAGCUUGCAUGUUGGCUGGUUGACCUGAAGCCCAGAGCAAAAGGGCGUAGUGAAGGCAAUUCUCCCAGAUGGUGCAAAACACCCGAGCCUCCUCUGCCCCUCGGAGAGAGAGAGAGUCCUGGAUCUCACCCGGGGGUUGAAACCCGCUGGCCAACGGGGCAUAUGGACACCUGACCCUCUGUGCCCCUGCGGGACAAUCCCAAGGGAGAGAGAGAGAGACGAUCCAAGGCAGAAUGGCCCCUGGUGUGCAAACAGAGAAGCUGCAUGGGAACCGGUUCUGAAGUCCAGUGGACAGGAUUCUGAGUGCUUGCAAGGUCCAUGGGACCCGAAAGGUGGCGAACUAUACCGUUCCACGACGAAGCCGUGGGAAACUGCGGUGGAGGUCGGUCGCUGUUCUGACGUGCAAAUUGUGUAGCCUGAGUGCGGCAUAGGGGUGAAAGGCCAAUCGAGCCACCUAGUAGCUGGUUUCCCUCGAAGUUUCCCUCAAGGAUAGCUGGGUUCGAAUGCUCCAACCAAGUGGUUGAGUCCGGUAAAGCAACGCAUGAGAGACUUCUGGGGAGGUUCGCCUCCUCGAUCUAUUCUCGAACUGUGAAUGGGCUUGGCAGACCCCAAUGAAGCAUGCUUCUUCACCGAGCCUGAAGGCUGUGUCAAAAGCAGUACUCGAUGGCCGCUGAGCAUGUUCGCAGUGGUGGCAGCCUUGUUGGUUGGUUGGUUGUGCCCAGCACAGCCACACCACACAGGUGAUGGGGACACCCCCUGCCCCCUUCCGGCUCUCUGGACAAACCCUGGGUGGGGCAUGCAUCUCCGUGAGGCUGCCCCCAGGGAGAGAGAUGUGCGAGGGGAGGCGAGGGUGACCGCCCUGAGUUGAGAGAGCAACUGUGCCAAAGGCUGCUGCUUGAGGAGAACUCACGUGCCUAUGUGGGCCAUGAUUGGUAAGCAGUGCUGGCGAUGCGGGAUGCUCCGAGAGUGGGUUUACAGAUCCAGAGUGCUGGCUCAUACCCAGAUCCCACAAAGGAUGUUGCCUGCUAGGGAUAGCAGGACGGUGGCCAUGAAGGUUGGAACCCGCUGAGGAAUGUGUAACAACUCACCUGCCGAAGCGUGCAGCUCCGAAAAUGGAUGGUGCCCAAGUCAGUGAAGCUGAAUUUGCCUUACAGCCCACUGCCACUGUGGCAGUCUUGAGCAGAGCAUUGGCAUGUAGAAAGGACAUGGGAGAUUGCAGUGCCAGUCAGGGUUGCCCCUGGCUGGAGUGUCUUCUGGCGCAGAUCUUGGUUGUAGUAGCGAAUACUCCAUUGGGUGAGGAGUGGACCAAACCCCACUGUAUGCGGUUGAGGACUGGAGUGGAGCAGGUUUCCGCAAUAAACAGCCGUUGAAUGCGGGUCAGCCGACCGUGAGCCAAGUGGUAAAUUCACCGAGCAACCAAAGCUGCCUUUGCCCAUCCAAUCCGUGGGGUGAGUCCCUUUCACCAAAGGGAAGGUGUCUGGCGUGCACACAUCUCAGGGAGAAGGGGAGAGAAGCGGAGGCGAGAGAGGUUUGCCACAUCCCACCUGGUGUGGGCUUGUGGUGUCCCUUCCCUCUCCCUCUGCGCUUUCCCCCCCUGGAGAACAGCGUGGGCAACCGCCGAUGGGCCCCUGGCUUUGGGUGCGGCCUCUGGCAGGAGUGGCAAACAGGCAAGCAAGUGCAACAUUCUGCUGUGAUGGGCUUUGGGGGUGCUAUGGUGGCAACACCCCGUCUGGAGCAAGCAGGCCUUGGGGCAGUGGACCCCCUGAGGAGUUAUCGUUUCCUCCUGAUGGAUGCUCAGUGGGCCAUGGAUUGGCAUGACAGAUGGUGGUGUGGGCCCUCCGCUCAGCAAGGCAGUGUGGCCUCUCACACUGAUGGUGUCUGAAUCAGAGCAGCGAGCAUUAUGUCUCGAAACACCAAACAACCCUGCCCUUCCCCCUCCGUGGGGAGAGGAGGAGAGAGAGAGAGAAGAGAAGUGGUGCACAAACCUGACCCUUGGUGGUCACUGGCUCCAAUGAACAGCCUGUGGGACGCAGUGCCCCUGGUCCCUGGUCCUCGUACCGAAUCACCGCAGCUGGUCUCCUCGGCUAGACGCCGCUUGUCCACGGACGAAAUGCAGCUAAGGGAAGUCGGCAAACUGGCCGUGUACCUUUGGAAGAUACGGUGGCUCCAGAGGCCAAGUCACAGGGCCCUGCCGUGGACCGUGUGGUUGUGGUUGGUAGACCUCCUGUGUGGCGGCUCCCUAAAAGCCUGUCAUGCGGAGAAAGGUUGGCCACCGCCCGCAUGGCCUUCCGUGGUGGGAGGCUGCAGGACCUCGUGCCUGUGGCCUAUCCCUGUGCCUGCCUAGUGGCUCACAUGGAACUGUUGCUGUGCAGGGGAAUCUGACUGUUUAAUUGAAACCCAGCUUUGUGAAGGGACCAGCUGGCUGGUGCCAUGAGGUGACUUCUGCCCAGUGCUCUGAUUGUCACUGCGAAGAGAUUCAGCCAAGCGCGGGUAAACGGCGGGAGUAACUAUGACUCUCUUAAGGUAGCCAAAUGCCUCGUCAACCAAUUAUUGACGCGCAUGAAUGGAUCAACGAGAUUCCUGCUGUCCCUAGUUUCUGUCUGGUGAACCAACAGCCAAGGGAACGGGCUUGGAUGU
rnacentral:rRNA from 1 species